CCUACGGGAGGCAGCAGUGGGGAAUAUUGCACAAUGGGCGCAUGCCUGAUGCAGCCAUGCCGCGUGUGUGAAGAAGGCCUUCGGGUUGUAAAGCACUUUCAGCGGGGAGGAAGGCGUUAAGGUUAAUAACCUUGUCGAUUGACGUUACCCGCAGAAGAAGCACCGGCUAACUCCGUGCCAGCAGCCGCGGUAAUACGGAGGGUGCAAGCGUUAAUCGGAAUUACUGGGCGUAAAGCGCACGCAGGCGGUCUGUCAAGUCGGAUGUGAAAUCCCCGGGCUCAACCUGGGAACUGCAUUCGAAACUGGCAGGCUAGAGUCUUGUAGAGGGGGGUAGAAUUCCAGGUGUAGCGGUGAAAUGCGUAGAGAUCUGGAGGAAUACCGGUGGCGAAGGCGGCCCCCUGGACAAAGACUGACGCUCAGGUGCGAAAGCGUGGGGAGCAAACAGGAUUAGAUACCCGAGUAGUC
rnacentral:rRNA from 1 species